CUACGGGUGGCUCCAGUAAGGAAUAUUGCGCAAUGGAGGCAACUCUGACGCAGCCAUGCCGCGUGCAGGAAGAAGGCCUUAUGGGUCGUAAACUGCUUUUAUUUAGGAAUAAACCCCCGAACGUGUUCGGGGCUGAAGGUACUAAACGAAUAAGCACCGGCUAACUCCGUGCCAGCAGCCGCGGUAAUACGGAGGGUGCAAGCGUUAUCCGGAUUUUUUGGGUUUAAAGGGUGCGCAGGCGGGCUAGUAAGUCAGUGGUGAAAUCCCGGGGCUCAACUCCGGAACUGCCAUUGAUACUGAUAGUCUUGAGUUUGGUUGAAGUGGGCGGAAUGUAGCAUGUAGCGGUGAAAUGCAUAGAUAUGCUACAGAACACCAAUCGCGAAGGCAGCUCACUAAGCCAAAACUGACGCUCAUGCACGAAAGCGUGGGGAUCAAACAGGAUUAGAUACCCGCGUAGUC
rnacentral:rRNA from 1 species